AGAAGAGAGAGGCCCCAUAUCAGAAGGAAGUGUGACCCAGAAGGAUGGAGCUCUUCAGAGACAGGCUUCUUUGAGAAUCAAGAAAGAUUCAGAACAGGUGAAUUGAGUAGAUUGUGGCUUUUGGAAACUGAGUAACACAGUAGCAAAUUGCAUAGCGUUUUAAACACUGCAACCUGACUUAAGAGAGAAUCCCCCUGUAAAGGGUCUCACUCCUGCCACCCAGACUGUAGUGCAGUGGUGAUCAUGGCUCACUGCAGCCUCGGCUUCCUGAACUCAGGUGAUCUUCUCCCUCAGCCUCACAAGUAGCUGGAACUACAGCAAUGAAUGAAGGUUCCUGUUGCUCCACAUUCUCACCAGCACUUGGUUUCAUCAGUGUUCUGACUUCAGCCAUUCUAACAGGUUUGAACUGCAUGGACUGCUUAUAUGUGAAUUUUCUUCCACUUCUGCCACCCCUGGAACAGCAAGACCAACCCAUCCUUUUCCUCCUCUUCUUCAGCAUACUCAAGGUGAAGACAACAAAGGAUGAAGAUCUUUAUGAUGAUCUACUUCCAUUUAAUAAAUAGUACUAUAUUGUACAUUCCACUGUAAAUGAGCAAACAUUACACUGGCAGCAGGGACCAGCAUCCUUUAUCAAGAGGCAGUUGUAGCUCAAGAGUUGCAUCUUGGUAGCAUCAAUACAGAAUUUAAGGAUUACAGAAGAUAUCUCAAAAGUUCUCUAUACUUGGAAGAAAAAUAAAGAACGAUUUGCACUUCA